AGCCCUGUGGUGUAGUGGCCAAUGAAUGACAAUUUAUAUUAUGUAUUGUCUUCGGCUAGGCAUAUCGGGCCUUGGACCCGGUGACCGCGGUUCGAAUCCGCGCAGGGCUA
rnacentral:tRNA from 1 species